GGUCGAUACCUGAGGCAAUGGCAGGAGAACAUGCCCCACUUUGCCCUGGUGUCCACAUCCGAGACCCUCCAUUUGAUAUUGGCUCCUUGAAUCCGAAUGGAUUUGGUGAGACAAGGCUAAACGUAGGGGAUGAAGGUCCGUCUUGUGGAGUUUGAACACCAGAAAGCCAACCAGAAUCUGGUGGUGUUUGACGACCAGGACUGGCGGGGGUAGAAGAUGGUAAGAAGGCAUAGUGUUG
rnacentral:misc_RNA from 1 species